rnacentral:lncRNA from 1 species
CGGCUGAGCAUUGUGAGGAACACGUCGGCAGAGGAAGAUACAAGCCACUGGUCAUCGAGGGCACACUGGCAGAAGAGCACGCCAACAGGCACUAGCAGGUCGACAAGCCGGGCCAUAGACUGGUGGAAUGACGCGAAGUUUUCCAGGGGAAAACCAUCUCCCUUCUGGCUCCCCCAUCUGCUAAGAGUUACUUCUACUCAAUAAGACCUUGUACUCAUUCUCUAAGCCCGUGUGUGCUCCAAUUCUCCUGGUACACCAAGACUCUGAUAACUUCAAGAGAUCCUAUGGAAAAUCCACUAACAAAAUAGUAACGUUUGUGAAAA